rfam:Schistosoma haematobium scaffold429_10, whole genome shotgun sequence.
GCACUACUGAGGAGUCCCAUACCAGGACGAAACGGCCGUCCAAUGC